rnacentral:rRNA from 1 species
GAUGAACGCUGGCGGCGUGCCUAAUACAUGCAAGUCGAGCGAACGGACGAGAAGCUUGCUUCUCUGAUGUUAGCGGCGGACGGGUGAGUAACACGUGGAUAACCUACCUAUAAGACUGGGAUAACUUCGGGAAACCGGAGCUAACACCGGAUGAUAUUUUGAACCGCAUGGUUCAAAAGUGAAAGACGGUCUUGCUGUCACUUAUAGAUGGAUCCGGGCUGCAUUAGCUAGUUGGUAAGGUAAUGGCUUACCAAGGCAACGAUGCAUAGCCGACCUGAGAGGGUGAUCGGCCACACUGGAACUGGGACACGGUCCAGGCUCCUACGGGAGGCAGCAGUAGGGAAUCUUCCGCAAUGGGCGAAAGCCUGACGGAGCAACGCCGCGUGAGUGAUGGAGGUCUUCGGAUCGUAAAACUCUGUUAUUAGGGAAGAACAUAUGUGUAAGUAACUGUGCACAUCUUGACGGUACCUAAUCAGAAAGCCACGGCUAACUACGUG